GCGUUUAGCUCAGUUGGUUCAGAGCAUCUGCCUUACAAGCAGAGGGUCGGCGGUUCGAAUCCGUCAACGCC
rnacentral:tRNA from 2 species